rnacentral:rRNA from 1 species
AGUGAACGCUGGCGGUAUGCCUAACACAUGCAAGUCGAACGGCAGCACAGUAAGAGCUUGCUCUUACGGUUGGCGAGUGGCGGACGGGUCAGGAAUACAUCGGAAUCUACUUUUUCGUGGGUGAUAACGUAGGGAAACUUACGCUAAUACCGCAUACUACCUACGGGUGAAAGCAGGGGAUCUUCGGACCUUGCGCGAUUGAAUGAGCCGAUGUCGGAUUAGCUAGUUGGCUGGGUAAAGGCCCACCAAGGCGACGAUCCGUAGCUGGUCUGAGAGGAUGAUCGGCCACACUGGAACUGAGACACGGUCCAGACUCCUACGGGAGGCAGCAGUAGGGAAUAUUGGACAAUGGGCGAAAGCCUGAUCCAGCCAUACCGCGUGAGUGAAGAAGGCCUUCGGGUUGUAAAGCCCUGUUGUUGGGAAAGAAAAGAAGCAGGUGAAUAUCCGGAUGUUCUGACGGUACCUAAAGAAUAAGCACCGGCUAACUUCGUG